rnacentral:rRNA from 1 species
UUAAGCGACUAAGCGUACACGGUGGAUGCCCUGGCAGUCAGAGGCGAUGAAGGGCGUGCUAAUCUGCGAUAAGCGCCGGUAAGGUGAUAUGAACCGUUAUAACCGGCGAUACCCGAAUGGGGAAACCCAGUGUGACUCGUCACACUAUCAUUAACUGAAUCCAUAGGUUAAUGAGGCGAACCGGGGGAACUGAAACAUCUAAGUACCCCGAGGAAAAGAAAUCAACCGAGAUUCCCCCAGUAGCGGCGAGCGAACGGGGAGGAGCCCAGAGCCUGAAUCAGCAUGUGUGUUAGUGGAAGCGUCUGGAAAGGCGCGCGAUACAGGGUGACAGCCCCGUACACAAAAGCGCAUGUGCUGUGAGCUCGAUGAGUAGGGCGGGACACGUGGUAUCCUGUCUGAAUAUGGGGGGACCAUCCUCCAAGGCUAAAUACUCCUGACUGACCGAUAGUGAACCAGUACCGUGAGGGAAAGGCGAAAAGAACCCCGGCGAGGGGAGUGAAAAAGAACCUGAAACCGUGUACGUACAAGCAGUGGGAGCACCCUUUGGGGUGUGACUGCGUACCUUUUGUAUAAUGGGUCAGCGACUUAUAUUCUGUAGCAAGGUUAACCGAAUAGGGGAGCCGCAGGGAAACCGAGUCUUAACCGGGCGUUAAGUUGCAGGGUAUAGACCCGAAACCCGGUGAUCUAGCCAUGGGCAGGUUGAAGGUUGGGUAACACUAACUGGAGGACCGAACCGACUAAUGUUGAAAAAUUAGCGGAUGACCUGUGGCUGGGGGUGAAAGGCCAAUCAAACCGGGAGAUAGCUGGUUCUCCCCGAAAGCUAUUUAGGUAGCGCCUCGUGAAUUCAUCUCCGGGGGUAGAGCACUGUUUCGGCUAGGGGGCCAUCCCGGCUUACCAACCCGAUGCAAACUGCGAAUACCGGAGAAUGUUAUCACGGGAGACACACGGCGGGUGCUAACGUCCGUCGUGAAGAGGGAAACAACCCAGACCGCCAGCUAAGGUCCCAAAGUCAUGGUUAAGUGGGAAACGAUGUGGGAAGGCCCAGACAGCCAGGAUGUUGGCUUAGAAGCAGCCAUCAUUUAAAGAAAGCGUAAUAGCUCACUGGUCGAGUCGGCCUGCGCGGAAGAUGUAACGGGGCUAAACCAUGCACCGAAGCUGCGGCAGCGACGCUUAUGCGUUGUUGGGUAGGGGAGCGUUCUGUAAGCCUGUGAAGGUGGCCUGUGAGGGUUGCUGGAGGUAUCAGAAGUGCGAAUGCUGACAUAAGUAACGAUAAAGCGGGUGAAAAGCCCGCUCGCCGGAAGACCAAGGGUUCCUGUCCAACGUUAAUCGGGGCAGGGUGAGUCGACCCCUAAGGCGAGGCCGAAAGGCGUAGUCGAUGGGAAACGGGUUAAUAUUCCCGUACUUGGUGUUACUGCGAAGGGGGGACGGAGAAGGCUAUGUUGGCCGGGCGACGGUUGUCCCGGUUUAAGCGUGUAGGUGUGUGUUCCAGGUAAAUCCGGUUCACUUUAACACUGAGGCGUGACGACGAGGCACUACGGUGCUGAAGCAACAAAUGCCCUGCUUCCAGGAAAAGCCUCUAAGCAUCAGGUAACAUCAAAUCGUACCCCAAACCGACACAGGUGGUCAGGUAGAGAAUACCAAGGCGCUUGAGAGAACUCGGGUGAAGGAACUAGGCAAAAUGGUGCCGUAACUUCGGGAGAAGGCACGCUGACAUGUAGGUGAAGUGAUUUACUCACGGAGCUGAAGUCAGUCGAAGAUACCAGCUGGCUGCAACUGUUUAUUAAAAACACAGCACUGUGCAAACACGAAAGUGGACGUAUACGGUGUGACGCCUGCCCGGUGCCGGAAGGUUAAUUGAUGGGGUCAGCGCAAGCGAAGCUCCUGAUCGAAGCCCCGGUAAACGGCGGCCGUAACUAUAACGGUCCUAAGGUAGCGAAAUUCCUUGUCGGGUAAGUUCCGACCUGCACGAAUGGCGUAAUGAUGGCCAGGCUGUCUCCACCCGAGACUCAGUGAAAUUGAACUCGCUGUGAAGAUGCAGUGUACCCGCGGCAAGACGGAAAGACCCCGUGAACCUUUACUAUAGCUUGACACUGAACAUUGAGCCUUGAUGUGUAGGAUAGGUGGGAGGCUUUGAAGUGUGGACGCCAGUCUGCAUGGAGCCGACCUUGAAAUACCACCCUUUAAUGUUUGAUGUUCUAACGUGGACCCGUAAUCCGGGUUGCGGACAGUGUCUGGUGGGUAGUUUGACUGGGGCGGUCUCCUCCUAAAGAGUAACGGAGGAGCACGAAGGUUGGCUAAUCCUGGUCGGACAUCAGGAGGUUAGUGCAAUGGCAUAAGCCAGCUUGACUGCGAGCGUGACGGCGCGAGCAGGUGCGAAAGCAGGUCAUAGUGAUCCGGUGGUUCUGAAUGGAAGGGCCAUCGCUCAACGGAUAAAAGGUACUCCGGGGAUAACAGGCUGAUACCGCCCAAGAGUUCAUAUCGACGGCGGUGUUUGGCACCUCGAUGUCGGCUCAUCACAUCCUGGGGCUGAAGUAGGUCCCAAGGGUAUGGCUGUUCGCCAUUUAAAGUGGUACGCGAGCUGGGUUUAGAACGUCGUGAGACAGUUCGGUCCCUAUCUGCCGUGGGCGCUGGAGAACUGAGGGGGGCUGCUCCUAGUACGAGAGGACCGGAGUGGACGCAUCACUGGUGUUCGGGUUGUCAUGCCAAUGGCACUGCCCGGUAGCUAAAUGCGGAAGAGAUAAGUGCUGAAAGCAUCUAAGCACGAAACUUGCCCCGAGAUGAGUUCUCCCUGAGACUUAGAGUCUCCUGAAGGAACGUUGAAGACGACGACGUUGAUAGGCCGGGUGUGUAAGCGCAGCGAUGCGUUGAGCUAACCGGUACUAAUGAACCGUGAGGCUUAACCUU